rfam:Fonticula alba strain ATCC 38817 unplaced genomic scaffold supercont2.21, whole genome shotgun sequence.
GCCUACGGCCAUACAUACCUGAGUACAUCCGAACCCGUCCCGCUCUCGGAAAUUAAGCAGGUACUGGCUUGGUCAGUACUGUGGUGGGCGACCACACGGGAAUACCAAGUGCUGUAGGCG